rnacentral:rRNA from 1 species
AUACGUAGGGGGCGAGCGUUGUCCGGAAUGAUUGGGCGUAAAGGGCGCGUAGGCGGCCCGGUAAGUCUGGAGUGAAAGUCCUGUUUUUAAGAUGGGAAUUGCUUUGGAUACUGUCGGGCUUGAGUGCAGGAGAGGUAAGUGGAAUUCCCAGUGUAGCGGUGAAAUGCGUAGAGAUUGGGAGGAACACCAGUGGCGAAGGCGGCUUACUGGACUGUAACUGACGCUGAGGCGCGAAAGUGUGGGGAGCAAACAGGAUUAGAUACCCUGGUAGUCCACACUGUAAACGAUGAAUGCUAGGUGUAGGGGGUAUCGACCCCUUCUGUGCCGCAGUCAACACAAUAAGCAUUCCGCCUGGGGAGUACGGCCUUAAGGUUGAAACUCAAAUGAAUUGACGGGG